AAGAAACUGACGUCCUCCCUGGAUGGUAUGCAGUGUAGUUAUAGCCAUGUGGGUCCCAGGAUAUUACUAAGAGACAACAUGGUGGCCAAUGUCAGGAACGCCAGAGGGAAAGAACAGAACAGAUUAUUUAUGAAUAUGUUGAAUAGGACUGGUCCCAGUACAGACACCUGGAGGACACCACCAUUUACCUUUCUCCAUUCUGAAAAUUGACUAUUUAUUUCUACUCUUUGUUCCUAUCUUUUAACCAGUUACCAAUCCAUGAGAGGACCUUCCCUCUUAUUUCAUGGCAGCUUACUUUGUUUAAGAGCCUUUGGUGAGGGACUUCGUCAAAGGCUUUCUGAAAAUCUAAGUACACUAUAUCCACUGAAUCCCCCUUGUCCACAUGCUUGUUGACCCCCUCAAAGAAUUCUAGUAGACCGAUGAGGCAUAAUUUCUCUUUACAAAAACCAUGUUGACUCUU